rnacentral:rRNA from 1 species
UACGUAGGGUGCAAGCGUUGUCCGGAAUUAUUGGGCGUAAAGAGCUCGUAGGCGGUUCGUCGCGUCGGCUGUGAAAACCCGGAGCUCAACUCCGGGCCUGCAGUCGAUACGGGCAGACUGGAGGUAUGCAGGGGAGAACGGAAUUCCUGGUGUAGCGGUGAAAUGCGCAGAUAUCAGGAGGAACACCGGUGGCGAAGGCGGUUCUCUGGGCAUGACCUGACGCUGAGGAGCGAAAGCGUGGGUAGCGAACAGG